UUUUGUUGUUGAUGUCUUGUUGUUGAUUCUUGUUGUUUAUUGUUCUUAUUGUUUAUUGUUGUUGUCAAUCUAUCUGAGAUGUAUCUUGAGUUGUAACAGAAUGUGUGAGCAGGUGAAAGGGUUAAAGGUUAAAACAUUUCUUUGUCUUAUUUUGAAAAUCCCACGACAUGUUGCUGAUGUGUCACUGUUUCCUGCACGACUCAAACGUUACCAAACAUUCCUGCGUGACUUUCAACAGGUCAAAGGUCAUGUCACAAUAAAAUCAUGUGGGUUCAGUGUC